GCAACACGUUUAUUAGUACUAUUUCACCAUGCACGUGCUUAAUUCUGUAAUUAAACUCACUAACCAGCAAACUUCUAAAAACAAGUUACUUCUCAACCUGCCAAACCAUCAGAACUGCCCAAUCCUCAAUUGCCCCAGCACAACCAAUCACUAUUGCCCUCCAAAUGACUCCAACCCCUGCUGGGCUGGAGGCUGCACCUUUAAUGAGGCUCAUUAACACAGCUGUCUGAUUGCUGCCAGCUGCCUGCCUCAGCCCCCCAUACUGCAAGGACAUUUCAGUCUCUUUUUAAGCUCAUAGCAGUUACAUGAUCUUUGUUUCAAAGAAGUAUUACUCUUGGAAGAAAAAAGUUUUUUUUAGCUGUAACUGUUUGGAAAUGAAAUCCACCACUGAGCUUACAGUCACAUCUGGCAGAUUCUGCCUGGGGAAAAGCUAUGGUCCAGAGAGCACCAGGAGCACUACUGGUGGCAUUCACUUAUGUUGAACCACUGGCAGCAACUCUGUCACAUCAGUACCUUCACGUAUUAACAGCAUACCCAAGCACCAGCUCAUAUGACACCAAAAUUAAUGCCUCUUAAAAGGGACUGAAGAGCGUCGUCCCCCCCCCGACUCCAGUUUCAGCAGCACUCCAACCCAUGAUCCCCAGGGAAGAAGGAAGCCUGUCCUCACCAUCCACAGAGCUUCUGCUAUGCUUUGCAGGUACAACCAGAGGCAGCAAGGCCCUGAGACGUCAUCCUGUGACCAUCAAGACCAUCCACUGCCCAGAAGGCUGGAGGUACAAACAGAACCCUUCUUCAGACACAGGAGAGCCACACAAGGCUAACUUUCCCCAGUUACUGAACCAACAUCACAAAUAACAGACAACAAAAGCCUCCUAUCACCGCUCCCAUUCCAUUC